rfam:Bacillus okhensis strain Kh10-101 contig51, whole genome shotgun sequence.
AACGAAAAACGAAAUACACCUCAUAUAAUCUUGGAGAUAUGGUCCAUAAGUUUCUACCUGACUACCUUAAAUAGUCGGACUAUGAGGGAAAGUGGGAGAUAC